GGCAUAUAGCUCAGUGGUAAAACCCUUACCUAGUGUGCAUGAGGCCUUGGGUUCAAUCCCCAGCACCA
rnacentral:tRNA from 1 species